CCAGACUCCUACGGGAGGCCGCCGUGGGGCCUCUUGCACCAUGGGGGCCCCCCUGAUGCCGCGCCGCCGCGUGCCGGCCGAAGUAUUUCGGUAUGUAAACUUCUCUCAGCAGGGCCGCCACUGACGGUCCCUGCCUAAGAAGCCCCGGCUAACUACGUGCCCGCAGCCGCGGUCCUCCGUAGGGGGCCAGCGUUAUCCGGAUUUCCGGGGUGUCACGGGAGCGGAGGCGGUUUAGCAAGUCAGAAGUGAAAGCCCGGGGCUCAACGCCGGGACGGCGUGGGAAACGGUGGAACUAGAGGGCAGGAGAGGUAAGGGGAAUUCCUAGGGGAGCGGUGAAAGGCGGAGAUAUUAGGAGGAACACCAGUGGCGAAGGCGGCUUACGGGAAGGUAAAUGACGCGGAGGCGCGAAAGCGGGGGGAGCCAACAGGAGGAGAGACCCGAGUA
rnacentral:rRNA from 1 species